rnacentral:rRNA from 1 species
AUAAUACAUGCCGGGCUUUCUAGGUCUGGCAAUUGGAAUGAGAACAAUUUAAAUCCCUUAUCGAGGAUCAAUUGGAGGGCAAGUCUGGUGCCAGCAGCCGCGGUAAUUCCAGCUCCAAUAGCGUAUAUUAAAGUUGUUGCAGUUAAAAAGCUCGUAGUUGGACAUCUGGUGGGAGCAAUGGGUCUCGCGCUUAGCGCGGGUACUUCAGUUGACUCCCGCCAUCCUCGGGGAGAGCCCGUCUGGCAUUAGGUUGUCGGGCGGGGGAUCCCCGUCAUUUACUGUGAAAAAAUUAGAGUGUUCAAAGCAGGCUUAUGCCGUUGAAUAUAUUAGCAUGGAAUAAUAAGAUAGGACUUGGGUACUAUUUUGUUGGUUUGCGCGCCCAAGUAAUGAUUAAUAGGAACAGUCGGGGGUAUUCAUAUUCCGUUGUCAGAGGUGAAAUUCUUGGAUUUACGGAAGAUGAACUACUGCGAAAGCAUUUACCAAGGAUGUUUUCAUUAAUCAAGAACGAAAGUUGGGGGAUCGAAGAUGAUUAGAUACCAUCGUAGUCUCAACCAUAAACUAUGCCGACUCGGGAUUGGCGGGUGUUCUCUCAACGACCCCGUCAGCACCGUAAGAGAAAUCAAAGUCUUUGGGUUCCGGGGGGAGUAUGGUCGCAAGGCUGAAACUUAAAGAAAUUGACGGAGGGGCACCACCAGGAGUGGAGCCUGCGGCUUAAUUUGACUC